AUACUCGUGCUCUAAUCAGCGAGGCAAGGGUGUCGGUUUGUAACUUCCUGUUUGGACCGGACACAAUCUGUGCACCUGAAGCGAAGACAUCUGUGGUGUGAAGCUGUUGGAAACAACUAUUAUAUGAAAGACACAGAGGAUGGCUGAAGGUGCGAGGCGAAGGAGAAAGCUGAGGCCAUACAGUGUUCACUUCAACAGAAAGACCAGAAUGGGCUCAAGGGCAGGUUCAUCACUGAUCUUAAAGGUGACUCUGAAGAAGGACCGGUUACUAUUGGAUGAUCAGGACUGUGUUGAGUAGAUGUCACCAGUCAAAGAGCAUGUGUUGAAUGAGGAGCAGAGCUUUUUUGUCCCCGCUGAAGGAGUUAAGGAGAUGAGAUCAACAUGACAGAUUCUGAUGACGCUGAUCCUGAAGAAAGUGAUUCUGAUGAUGAGGCUCUUGCUGGAGCUGCGGGAGACUCCAGUAAUGCUGGUGUUCAGAAGAUGCCCAUUGAGAGCACCACUGAAGUUCCUGAAGAGAGUGAGAGUGAGGCAGAAACUGAAAACACACGGAGAGGGCAGAAAGUGUCCUGGUCAAACACUGAAGUUACAGCUGUAAUCAAACAUUUUAAGGACCACAGAGCUAAAGGAAAACUGGCCACAAUGACUGAAAACCAGCAGUGUAAAACUGCUGAGGAUCCUGUUUUGGUGAGAUGCAGUGCACAGAACAUACAGGAUUUUGUAAGAAAUCGAGGAAUUAUCUUAAAAAGGAAAACCCAAAGCAAGUGAUGUUACAGUACAUCCUGUGUCUUGAUGUCAUUCUAUUAUCAUGAGCACUUUGGUUGUUGUUUUUAUUUCCAAUAGUGCAAAACUGUUAUAGCAGCAGUUCAUACAAAUAUCUCCAUGUAGAAAACAAGUUCAAUUGUUAGUUUGUCAAAAACUUUUCAUUCUGGAAGUGAACGAUUCCUUUACAGAUAAAUCAGUUUCUCUACACAUCUGCAGCAUCUAUUGUGUGCUCCGAGUUAAUCUCAUGUUUACUGUGUGUUUAGUAGGGAUGCACUGAUCAUGAUUUUUCAUAGACGAUACCGAUAUUUAUUUAUUUUUACAAGCAAACUGGUCGAUUCCGAUACAGAUUUCCGAUUAUUAUUAUUAUUAUUAUAUUAUUUUUUUUAAGCAACAAACAAGAAAGGAAAGUAUGCAUAAACAAGAUGUUUAUUUGGUAUUUAAUAGGCCAAACUGGCUUUUGGCUAUUGAAAACAAUAACUGUAACCAUCUGAAAUUAAUGGCAAUAACUGCACAGUAAGUAGCCUACAUUCAAUACAAACAUAGAUGCUACAGACAUCAGCAUUUAGCUUUUGUUUUUGGAUUGGGUUGAAACUACAUAGAACUGGCCUUAAAUUAAAAGAUUAACUGUAACCAUGUGAAAUUAAAGGCAAUAACUGCAUAGUUCUACAGUCCAAACAACACAAUCAACACACAUUCAAUAAGAGGUUUCUUAAUCAGCAUAUAGUAUUUUAGUUUUAAAAUUUGGUUUUAAAUUUAAAACAAGGUCUUUACCAAUGAGACUAAAUAAAAGUAUGCUAUAUAAAUAUUAUUCCAAAAUGUUAAAAUCAAAUAAUGUUGGUGCGAAUAAAGCACAGAUGCAAAGUGGUUCAUUCAUCCAAUUAAAAAAAUAAAUAAAAUAGGGUAAUGAUUCACAUCUAUAUAUUUUUUUUUACUUGAGCCAAUGAAAAAUAAAGAACUAUUCUCAAGUUAAAAAAUAAAAUUGUGAAUCAUUACCCAAAAAUAUUUUAAUUGGAUGAAUGAAACCCUUUUUUCAGUGUGCUUCAGCAGGUGAUUUUUAAAUCAAAUUAAGUCAAUGUAAUUUUAAGGAAAAAGGAAAAUAAUCCUAUACAGAACUGACGUUUACUUCUGACUUUUCAAACGUGUAUGCAAGUUAUACUUUACAAAAAAAAACAUUUCAGUUUUGUCACAGUUUAAUCUGUGUCGUUUCUCAUCCAGCUCGCAAGAAGUUGAUCCUUCACUGUCUUCGCUUGUGCAGGGCACGGAAAGGUACGAUACGCUCGAGCAGCUUCAGUGAGCACAGGAAAGGCUUUUAUUUGUGCAGCAGUACACUAGCGGCUGUUCGCUUCCUGCUGUCUAUUCCUCAGAUGUGUAGCUCGUGUUGCCUGUGUCCAGCACACAGAUUUUGAAAUACUUCCACACAAAUGACAUGAUAGCGAAUGAUUACAAUGUAGUCUGUGCACGCGGGCGCACUUACGGAAAAAUCGGCCGAUCGUGUAUUUGAAGCAAAAACCGUCCGGUUCCGAUUUAUGGCCGGUCAACGGUGCAUCCCUAACAUUUAGUGAGGUACUUACAACAUGAGGCAUGGCUUUUGAUUUAUAGUUUUUUUUUAAGUUGGUAAAUUAGACUUAAUUAUUUGUUGUUUGUUUUGAUUUGUGUGGCAUUCCUUUUUUUAUAGAAAGAUUACCCAUUUUAAUAAUUGGCGAAUUUUACGUUUUUUGUUUAUUUGUUUUUAUGUCACAAAUUUAAGUCAUUAUUAAAGUACUUCUAAAACA